CAACUAAUUUUAUUAUGCCAGAUCAGCUUGUACAAGAUAAAUUUGUACAAAAGUUUAUAGCUGUAUCAUUGCUCUUAUUUUUUAAAUAGAGUUGACUAUUUGGUGGUAAAAUAAUAACAAUUAAAACAUCAGAUGGUAAAAUAUAGUUUUUAGAAAACUUAAGUGAUAAAAUAAUAUGUUGGUAAAUAUUACUUUAUCGUAUAAAUCUAUAUUCUAGGCUAAUGACUAUCUUUACUGUAUAAUUCUAAAUUCUAGCAUGAUUUUAUUUUCUAAUUUCCUUUUUUAUAUCUUGAUUUUAUAACUUUUAACUAAUUCAUUCAUGGAAUCGACUUCUUGUGUUUUUUUGUCAUCUAUAAGGAUUGAUUAGAAAGUUACUUCCCUAAAUCCUCAUUAUUUCUCAUGUUACGAAAAAUUGUAAUUUAAUAGUUUGGACUUCCUAUACAGUAAAACAUUUAUAAAUUAAUGUUCAAUAAAUGAAUAAUCUUGAUUAAAUAAUAAAAUUUUCAAGUCCCAACGUAAGCCAAUCUCGCUAAAUGCAUGAGAUAAUAAUAAUAAUUUUUAAUCCUUUAGAACCCUACGAAAAUAUAAGUUAAUAAUCAGUCAACUACAAAAAUUAUUAAUAAUAAAUAACAAAUAAAUUCAUAAUAUUUUGGAUUUUUUUCCCUGACAACUUCAAUUUUUUUCAUUUUGACUCUUCAGAAUAUGCAUGUAAUGAUAUGAGACUAAAAAUAAAACUAUGAUAGAUGUAUUUAUGGAGUUUAUGUUCUAUAUGCUUUAAGAAUUGAAACACUUUAUCUUCUAAGAUAUUAAAUUUUAAAAGUACAUACAUUAAUUUUAUGUCUAUGUAGAAUGUACUUAUAUUAAUUUUUGUAAUUUGUUGUACAUAUUCAUAACACUUAUUAGUAUUUUUUACACAUACAUGAUAGUUUUGCAAUUCAUGCAUGAAUCUUGGUCAAAUGAAUAGUAUACACACCGAGGUGACACAAGCAAUUAAAAUAUAAAAUUAUUCAUUUAUAGAUUGAUAAAUAACUUUGUUAAGAUAAUAUUUUCUAUUAUUCCUAGCAAUAUUAUUCUAUAGAAGUUUAAUUGUAAUUUUACUUUAUGAUCUGAUGCGAAAUAGUGAAGUAAAUGAUCAUUUUAUUUCUCCUUUGUUCAACUCUAUCUUAGUGAAUUAUAAAUUAGAAUUCACUGCAAAUAGAUCAAUAUUAUUCAUUUGUUACCAUCAAUAUUUUUCUAUAAUUGAUGAUGGUGAUUGAAUCUGCUACUGAAAACUUUUGUCUAAUGGUAGUCUUGUAUUGGAUACAUGGAUUUGAUCCGAUGUUGAGGGAUUUGAUGCAACUCCCACCACCUUGUUCUAGUACCAUCACUACUCUUUCUUUUCACUUGUGCUUGGGUGCUCCAGCCCAACGUCAACUCGAUUCCCACUUUCUUUUAGCAUUUUGGUAAUAGAAUCGCAUAAGGAUAUUUUUAUUUUGUCUUGACCAGAUCAGGUGAAAAGCUAAUAAACAAAUUCUGAAAAUCCAUAUGCACAUAUAUAGUUUGGAGUUUAAUUUUAUUUUUUGUAACUGAGAAUUUCAAUCUCCAUGCAUGGAAGGUUAGUGCUCGAGAAGAACUAUUAAAUCAUUACAUAUUCUCCAUAAAGUAGACAUAUAUAACAGCGCAACUGAGGAAAAAAAUUAAUAAUAUGAAAGAGAUCACUAUUGUUGUUGAGAAAGAAGAAAAAUGACGUAGGAAGUAUAUAGAAUAGAAUAAAUUAGGAAUUUUAGAUUUUGAGACAAUCUAGUAUUUAAUAUUUUAUUAGGAUUUAUAUUGUUUUAGCACGCUUAUUUGAUUCAUUUUUGUAAUUCCAACCUAAUUAGGAUUUUAUUAUUUCUCUUAUUUGAAAAAGAUCAAUAUUAUAAAUAGCGUUUACUUUUUGGAUUGGAGUGGGAAUCUUGAGAAGUGAGAAUCCUAGGAUUGAGAGUGUGGAAUGGGAGUGGGAGUAGGUUGUUUACUUACACUGAAAUGGAAAUAUGGAAUGAAGAUCAUAAUCCAAUUUAUGUAUUUACUUUGUCUUGGAUUGGUAGUAAAUAGUUUCAAAUUACAAUUUUAUCCUUAUUUAAAG
rnacentral:lncRNA from 1 species